rnacentral:lncRNA from 1 species
GAGUUAUCAAGUGGUUUUUCUUUAGUCUUGUACUUUAUAAUCUGCUGUCUUGUCUUGUUCUUUCUUUCUUUUUCUUUUUUUCUUUCUUUUUUUAAAUGGGAAUUGAUUCCCGGGUGUUUUACCACAGAGCUACACCCCAGUCCUUUUUAUUUUGAGACAGAAUCUCACUAAGUUGCUGAUUGUGAUCUUGUUUAAUCGUUGAGGCUGGCCUUGAACUUCCAAUCCUGCUGCUUCAACCUCCUGAGUCACUGGAAUUAUAGGCAUGUGCCAUCUUUCCUGGCUCUGCUGUCCUUUGUCGCUUUCCCCCAUCCCCACUGUCCCUUCUUAAAUCUAGUUUAGAUGUUAGCUCAGAUAUCCCUACUCUGGAAAAGUCCUCACUUAUGCCCUGGCACUAGGUUAGGUCAACAUGUCCUUCCUGUGCACUUCCCUAUCAAAGCACAUGAUACAUUUUCAUGAUCUUAAAACUUUUGAAGAUUAUAAGUGACUUUGUAGAAUGUCUCAGUUUUUAUUUUUCACACUAUUUUCAUAUGAUUAGAUUCAGAUUACAUAUCUUCUGUGAUACUCAGGAUAUCAUAGUGCAUAGCAAUGCUGUGCUCUUUGUACAUCAUGUCAUGAGGCACCCAAUGUCAAUGUAUCAAUAUUUGAUGAUGUUAAUUAAUUACUUAAGGUAAUAUCUGCUUCACUAUUUUAAUGUUUAAAUGCUAUUUUAAAGACUUAUGUUUUUUUCCAUUGUAAUUGUAUUUCAUAAGCAACUGUAUAGUGAGAAAUUGAAACCUCUGCCAACAGCAAUGUGAGCUUAGAAUUCAGUUCUCCAGCUCUUCCAACAACUGCACUACACAUCUACUUUCUGUAUGCCAAAAGUUUUUGUCACUUUUCAUUUAUUACAGUUUUCUUCCUUUUUUGUAUUUGAGGGGCUUAUUCUGUUUUUCCCCCUUUGCAUGCUUCUCUCCCCUCCCCCAACAUUUUAAUAGCAUUUGGGGGAAAAUCAAGAUUAAAUGAGUGUAUUUGAUUCAUCACAUUUUAACAGAAGUUCAAGGAGUGCAUCUCAUGUACAGAGCUGAAGUAGGAAUGGGAUAGGACUUAAAAGGGAUAGGUGGUGUUUUAUAGCCCCAAACAUUUAAGACAGAGGAAAUACAAGAUAAAUACUAAGUAGCAGAGAAGGACAUUAAUUUUUUUUUUCAGCAUUGAGGACUGAGUCCAGGAUGCUUUCUCUCUGAGCAAUGUCCCAAUCCUUUUUUUAAAUUUUUUUUUUUAUUUUGAGACAGGGUCUUGCUAAUUGUGCAGGCUGGCCUCAAACUUGCCAUUUUUCUUCCUCAGCCUCCUGAGUCACUGGGAUUUACCAGGCAUGCACCACCAUAGUUGACUAUGAAAGACGUUUUAUAGAAAAUAAAAAGCAACUGAAAAAGACACCUUUAUUUCAUAUUUAAUAAAUCCAAUUCUGAUUUUUAAAAGACAUAAUCUUGCUUUGCUGACCAGGCUGGUUUUGAACUCCUGGAACCAAGUGGUCUUCCUGUCUUGGCCUUCUGUGCAGCUGAGACUAUAGGUUCCCCCCCCCCCCAAGCCUGGCUUAUUCUAAUUUUAAAAAAUGCAAUUUUAUGAACACUUGCUUUGUCUGCCCAGCACCCUCCCUGCCCCUUUUUCUGUAAAUAAAACUAUCCUCCUGCUGAGGGAACUGCUCUUUUUUAACCCCAACUGUAUUGCUCUAAUGGAGGCUGCCCAUCCUAGAGUGGGUCUCCAUGUUCCCAAAACAAGGUACAUGACCUCAGCUGGACUUUGGAUCCUUCCCCACAAAUUUUCCAAUGAGAAUUUAGAGAAGAGAAACAGUCCUAUUCAUGAUAAUGAGAUGAGUUGUCAAAAGCCAGGUUCUCCAAGGCAGAAGACAGCAGCCUCUGAUAAGACAGGAAGUUGACUCAGAGAAGCACAAAUGAGAGCUCAAGAGAGAAGGUCCUGGUGAUGGUUAGGUUACUAGGAUCCUUCAGGUCCAAUCAAACUUGUGCCCUUUCUGAGAUCUUGCUAGUCAGUCUAGGUCAGUAAUUUCCUGUUUUUGCUAACUUCAUUCAAAUUGGGUUUCUGCCACUUUUUUUGACAAAAAAGAGUUCCUGCUUUGAUAGACUAAUGGCCUUUUCUGUGUCUACAGUCUUGUCCCCUGCAGAGCAUAAGGAGGGACUUUUGAAGCCAUAGUAGACACUUUUCAUCUUCUAAUGGCCCUGGGCUAACACUGCCUGGGAGGUGAGGCAGGUGAGGUGCUGAGGAAGGAGGAUUGUGGGUACACAAACAAACACAAACAUGCAAGUACACACACACCUGUUAAGAUUUUUUUUUUUUUUACCAUCAAAAUAUUACUUACUGAAGGUCUAUUAUAUUUCAGGUGCUUUCACAAACAUCUGCUCUACAUUAGUUCAGGACACUAGAUUUCCAGACUGCUCUUAAUUAUAGAUAACAUUUUGAAGAUAAAAUAUAUUAAAUACUAGUUGCUACAAAAUGGGAAAAUUGUGAGGAAAGAUCUUGUGCAGCUUUCCUCACCUUCUCCAGGCUCGGCUUACCACCACUUGAGUUAUCUCUUGCUUUUUUAUGAAAAGAUUAUUCCAAGGAACUUGGAAACAGGACUUCAAAUGCAAGUGUUAUUUCAGCAUUACUGUUUGACGGGCUUGUUUCUAAAGACAUUUUUGGGAAAGAUUAUAAAAAAAGAACCCCAAAUCUGAAUCAAACUAUAACUAAAUAGCGUGACUUGCCUUGAAAUUCUAGCUUUAUUCAUGUAAGUUUGUGUCCUACAAAGCAGAUUGAAACAAGUCAGCCCAAAUCUAUAUAAACAGACUUAAGUUUUGGGAGAGCUGCUGUGUGAAAGUUUAAUUCCAGCUUUUAUUAUUACUUUGAAACUUAGACAAAUAACAUUUGUCCAGUCAUUUCUCACAUAUUUUUCCUCCAUGAUCUUCCUGAAGAAAAAUGGUUACAACAGCUCAGAGUACUACUCCAAAGAAAUAGCCACACUGGCAAUGGUACCAACUUUUUCCUUUUGCAGUGGGUGGUCCAGCACAAAAAUUCCCCAGUGGUUCAGAAUCUUCUAGCAGCUUAUGGGAACCUGCCUUGGCUUCCCAUCAGCUGCUGUAUUUAAACAUCUUUAUAUGCAACUUAAGAUGCAAACUGUUAGAAUUAAUAACAGGUAAUUUAAUUUUUCCCUUUAGUAAAUUUUAAGGAAUUCUCAGCAUAUUCUGCAGAGAGAAAAUUAUGUUAGAAGUCUGUG